CCUGACCCCAUGCCGAACUCAGAAGUGAAACGCCGUAGCGCCGAUGGUAGUGUGGGGUCUCCCCAUGCGAGAGUAGGGAACUGCCAGGU
rnacentral:rRNA from 1 species